rnacentral:lncRNA from 1 species
ACAAUUAGAACUGUCCACUUGUUUGAUUCGAACACAUGAGAGAUGGGCAGAGUUAUUGUCUUGUAUAGUUCUCCUCAGUCCGAUUCAUGACUAUGAAGCUUCUUACUUUAUGCUCUGGUUCAUAGGCUGGGACAUAGAGAGCAGAAAGAUGAGUGGUCACCUCGUCGUGUUGAUAUUUUCCAAAGGCAGAAUGUUUUGCCAUCAGAUGCAGUAAUUUCAGCUGGUGCUGUCAACUCUUCAUGUCUUACUUUAUGCUCUGGUUCAUAGGCUGGGACAUAGAGAGCAGAAAGAUGAGUGGUCACCUCGUCGUGUUGAUAUUUUUCAACGGCAGAAUGUUUUGCCACCAGAUGCAAUAAUUUCAGCUGGUGCUGUCAAUUCAUCAUGCACAGC